UUGAAUGAUUAUUAUUGUUUGCAUUAUUAUAAUUAGUUCGGUAAGAUUUAUCGUUUAAUUCGUUGAACUUACUAAGCUCAUUAGGCUUACUUGUGUUGUUCAACGUCAUUUUAGAUUUUUGAAAGGUUGGACGAUCGGAUCAAAAAUCAAGUCACACUAUCCAGCUUAUCUCGGUAGUUUUUGAAACAUUUAAUUCGGAUUAUAUGGCAUGUAUAGGCUUUUGUGCGGUUUUGGUCAAUGUUUGACUUAUGUAAAUAUUAUGAAUGAUAUUUUGUGCAAGUAACCAACUUGCAUAUUGUAUGAGAAUGAGGUAUCAUUGUUAUGCUAGUAUUUGUGGCAUAUAUAUAUUUGAAUUGUUGUGAUUGUGGUAACUUUGUUAGGUAUAUUGAUUUGGUAUUGCUUGAAUGAGUUGAUGAAUUGAAUUAAUGUGUAUUUUGUUGUAAAGUUGUAUAUGUUUGUGGUACCAAUGAGGGUACAUUGGUUAGGCACAUAUUAGGUUGGUUUUGAUGUGUUUUUGACCCGAUUAAUGUCAUUUUGAAUUGGUAUUUUGAUUAGUAAUUAAGUUUUUUAAGGUCCAAGCAAACUUGAAAUGGUAAACUUGUAUUUUAAGGUUCAUUUUGGAGCCACAUGACUUGAGAGACGGGCGUGUGUCUCAGUCGUGUGUGGCACACGACCAUGCGACACAGUCGUGUGUCCCCUGUAGGUUCAAGGUUUACAACUCAAGUGGCUAUACGGCCUGGCACACGGGCGUAAGGCUUGGCCGUGUGACCCAAGUAAGUGAGUUACACGGGUAUAGACACGGGCUAGGACACGGCCGUGUGUCCUUAUUUCGAAUGCCCACACAGCCUGAGACACGGACGUGUGUCUCAGCCAUAUGAGUCACCCGGCCUGGCCAUACAGCAGUGUGACCCUUGCAGUCUAAAUUUUUUAACUUUUUCCUAAAAUUUCCAAAUUUUUUUGAUUUAGUCCCGAACUAUUUCUAUAGUAUUUUUAGGGUCUCGAGAGCUCUAUUAAGGAACAUUACGAAUGUAUUUGAAUGAAAUUUGAUUAUGUUUGUAUUAAUGUAUGAUUUGAAUGGUUUACUAUUCCAUUUGUCCGGUAAUACUCUGUAAUCCUGUUCCGGUCACAGAUACGAGUUUGGGGUGUUACAUUUAGUGGUAUCAGAGCUACGAUUUUGUUGAUUUUCAGACUAAAUAUAGCGUGUAAAAUAUCUAGAAUUACAUGCCAUAUAAAUCUGCGAUAGUGUGAUGUGUUUGAUUCGAUUUAACCUUCGUUUUCUUAUAGAUUGUAAAGAUUCAAACGAAUCUGAUCGUGCUAAUAAUGAUGAGGUUAACAGUAAUGUACCAACUUCUGAUCAUGGGACGAGUAGUAAUGUUUCGAUUCCUUCGGCUCAGGAACAUGAGCUUAAAAAUAUGUUCUUUAGUUAUAUGAAUCAGUGGUUCAGUGAAUUUAUGAAAAUGAAAAAUCCAGCUCAACGACCUCUACCCCCUAUUGUACCACUUGUUGUACCCCGGUUGCUUCUCCACCUCCUCCUAUAAUUGAGUCUAAUAGAUGUAUUCCGAUUGAGAAACUUAGAAAGUGUGGUGCUAAAUAAUUUUGGGGCAGAUCAAAUGAUGAUCCAAUUAAAGCUGAGCACUGGCUUCAGAAUAUCUUACGAGUUUUCGAAGAAACGACUUAUUCUCCUGAUGACUUUCUUAGAUGUCUUGUUUCGUUAUUAAAAGAGAAGCGUAUAGUUGGUGGUCUACGAUAGUAGCUGUGGUACCGAGGGGGAAAAUUUUUUGGGAAUUCUUUUAGAUCAAGUUUAAAAAGAAAUAUGUUGGAAAAAUGUAUUUUGACAAGAAAAAGAGAGAAUUUCUUGAGUUACAUCAUGGUAAUAGAUCAGUAGCUGAAUACGAGAGAAAAUUUGUGUAUAUUAGUAAAUAUGCCCAAGAAAUUGUGCCUAUCGAAGAAGAGAUGUGUAUCCAGUUUGAAGACGACCUGAAUGAUGAUCGGAGGUAAUAAAAUUCGAGAAUUUGUUAUUUUAUCUAAUUGUGUACAGAAAAUGGAAGAACUGUACAACUGCAAGAUACAACGGGAUAGAUUCGAAAAUUUCAUAAGAGAGGUUCUUCCAAGUACUAAAGAUGAUUUUAGAUGAGCUACUUCAGUGUCUGAGCAUCCGAACAAAAACAAGACGAUUCAGUAGGAUUUCAGAGUACCUAAUAAACUAGCUAAUAGUGUGGGAAGUGUACGAAAUGCUCUGAAGCCCAAUUGUAGAUAUUGUGGGAAAUAUCAUCUUGGUGAGUGUAGAGGUAAAUCAGGAGCUUGUUAUAGAUGUGGAUCGACUGAUCAUUUUAUUCAAAAUUGUCCUAAAUCGCCAAAAAAGGAUGAAGAUUAGAAAGAAAAGUAAAUAUCUACCUCUCAGAAAAGUAGACAUCUGGGCCAGAAUAGUGCUACCUGGACUACUUGUAAGAGAAUGAAAGACACUGUCAUUCGGUCAGAGGCUAGAGCACCUACUCGCACCUAAACUAUUCGAGCCAGGGAGAAAGCUACUACCCCAAAUGUGAUUGUCGGUAUAUUCUAUCUCUUUGAUGUUACUAUGUAUACAUUGAUUGACCCUAGGUCAACUCAUUCUUAUAUUUUCACUGUAUUAGUAACGAAAAAAAUUACCUGUUGAAUCUAUUGAUUAUGAUAUUCAAGUUACUAAUCCACUAGGUCAGAGUGUGAUAGUUAAUUUAGUUUGUCGUAAUUGUCCAUUGAAAGUUAGGGGCUAUGAAUUCCUUACUGAUUUGAUGUUGUCACCCUUUCGAAAAUUUGAUGUUAUUCUAGGUAUGAAUUGGUUAUCGUUGCAUGAUGCUGUAGUAAACUGUAGACAGAAACGUAUUAAUUUGAAAUGCCAUACGGGAGAGAUGAUUUUAGUUGAGUCUGAGAGUCUGAAAGAUGUUAGAAUUAUUUUAGCUUUUACUGCUCAAAGAUUGAUACGAAAAGAUAGCAAAGCAUUUCUAGCAUAUAUUCUUAAUACUAUAGAUUUAGAAUCAAAGCUAGAUUAGUUACCAGUUGUUAGUGAGUUCGCUGAUGUAUUUCCUGAAGAGUUGCCGAGUAUACCUCCUGAUCGUGAAGUUGAGUUUGUGAUUAAUUUGGUUUUUGGAACUACACCGAUAUCAAUAUCAUCAUACCGCAUGACACUAUCUGAACUAAAAGAAUUCAAAGAACAGUUGCAAGAGUUAUUAGACCGGGGGUUUAUUCGACCGAGCGUGUUUCCUUAGGGUGCACCUGUAUUGUUUGUGAAAAAGAAAAACGGCUCUUUGAGAUUGUGUAUAAAUUAUAGACAGUUGAACAAAGUCACGAUAAAAAAUAAGGGUUGGAUAGUGAAUUUGAUGUUUAUUAGGGGUUGUUUGAGGGCCUAGUAUAUUUGGAUAAAAUAUUAACUUGAGAAAAAUUGGUUAAUUUGAUGAAUAUAAAGUUAAGGGACUAAAUUGCAAAAAUGGUAAAAAUUUAGGGUAAUUAUGUAAUUUUGAUAAGUUAUAGGGUAUUAAUUGUAAAGUGGUUUAGAAAUGAUAUAUGUGCUAACAAAUGAAUAAUUUUACAUUUCUAAAUCAAAAUCUCAUAGAUACUCGUGGAAAAGGAAAAAUAGUAUAAUAGUCCCUGAAUUUCUGCAACGACUACAAUUCAGUCCAGGUAAGUUCGUACGGUUAAAAUUUAACAUUUGUAUAAAUUGAUGAUUGAUAUUAUAUAUAUGUUCUAUUGUUGGAAAUGAAUUAUGGUUGGAAUUAUAAUAUCGAUUUUAAUACUCGGUUUAGAUUGAACGCGAGAUUUGAGUACAUUUGUGUUUGGUGUAUGACCGGGGUGUGGAGUGGAGAUGGUAUUGGAGGGAGAUAUCGGCAUAUUAUUCAAGUAAACCGAGGUUCAGCAUUUGUUGCGAACUCUCGCGUUAUACUUUCUGUUUGGCGUGAUUCGAGUGGAUCAGCUUUUAUGAGCUUCUGUUGACGAUGUACUCUUACUCGUAAGUCGUUCUUCAAAUGGAAAAUCUCGGUAAGGUAGUUCGUUUAAUGAAUUUGAAAGAUAUGUUGUUUAUUUCAUAUUAAUUUGAAUAUGGAUGAAUUAUCGAUUGAAGUUGUGAAUGACAGGUUUCUUUUGAAUGAUUAUUAUUGUUUGCAUUAUUAUAAUUAGUUCGGUAAGAUUUAUCGUUUAAUUCGUUGAACUUACUAAGCUCAUUAGGUUUACUUGUGUUGUUUAACGUCAUUUUAGAUUUUCGAAAGGUUGGACGAUCGGAUCAAAAAUCAAGUCACACUAUCCAACUUAUCUCGGUAGUUUUUGAAACAUUUAAUUCGGAUUAUAUGGCAUGUAUAGGCUUUUGUGCGGUUUUGGUCAAUGUUUGACUUAUGUAAAUAUUAUGAAUGAUAUUUUGUGCAAGUAACCAACUUGCAUAUUGAAUGAGAAUGAGGUAUCAUUAUUAUGCUAGUAUUUGUGGCAUAUAUAUAUAUAUAUGAAUUGUUGUGAUUGUGGUAACUUUGUUAGGUAUAUUGAUUUGGUAUUGCUUGAAUGAGUUGAUAAAUUGAAUUAAUGUGUAUUUUGUUGUAAAGUUGUAUAUAUUUGUGGUACCAAUGAGGAUACAUUGGUUAGGCACAUAUUAGGUUGGUUUUGAUGUGUUUUUGACCCGAUUAAUGUCAUUUUGAAUUGGUAUUUUGAUUAGUAAUUAAGUUUCUUAAGGUCCAAGCAAACUUGAAAUGGUAAACUUGUGUUUUAAGGUUCAUUUUGGGGCCACACGACUUGAGAGACGGGCGUGUGUCUCAGUCGUGUGUGGCACACGACCAUGCGACAUAGUUGUGUGUCCCCUGUAGGUUCAAGGUUUACAAGUCAGGUGGUUACACGGCCUGACGCACGGGCCUGUGACGUCAUUUCGAGGGGUACAUAGCCUGGCACACGGGCGUGUGGCUUGGCCGUGUGACCCAAGUCAGUGAGUUACAUGGGCAUGGACACGGGUUGAAACACAGCCGUAUGUCUCUAUUUCGAAUACCCACACGGUCUGAGACACGGGGGUGUGUCUUAGCCGUGUUAGUCACACGGCCUGGCCACACGGUCAUGUGACCCCUGCAGUCCUAAUUUUUCAACUUUUUCUUAAAAUUUUCAAAUGUUUCCGAUUUAGUCCCGAAUUGUCUCUUUUUGUAUUUUUAGGGUCUCGGCAACUCUAUUAAGGGACAUUAUGAAUGUAUUUCAAUAAAAUUUGAUUAUGUUUGUAUUAAUGUAUGAUUGAAUGGUUUACUAUUCCGUUUGUCCGGUAAUGCUCCGGAAUCCUGUUCCGAUGACGGAUACGGGUUAGGGGUGUUACACCUUCUGCAUAAGAAACAUAACAUUUUGAUUUUAUCGUAUUGAAUCUGAGCGUAUGUAGAUUUAUUUUGGUAAAAAUAAUAUUCUUUUUCCUUUUCAAAGGAACUCAAACAUCUAAUUUCACCUUAUGCAUGUAAUUUCUCACUCCCCUUGUAACUAACGUCGCAUCAUACUCCAUGAACUGGCCAAUGAAGUUCCCAAACUAUUGCGCCAUUCCUUCAGACAUGAACCCCAUCAGCAAAUUAUGUAUUUGUACCGAGAAUAGGGCAUAAAAGAGAGGGACUUGCAAAUGAUCUUCCUCAUUUUCCAACUUGUGAAAAACAAUUAGAUUCCUAUUAAAGAACCAGGGCAUACCAUCUAUCACCCUCUUCAAAUCUAUCAUAUUGUAAAAUCGAAACAAUACUCACUUCUCCCCAAUGUCCAUGAUAGAAAUUCCUCCAAGCGGAUGCCACAAAUUUGCCAACAUAUUUCUCAUAGAUGGAAAGUGAACUACACUAUCCGUUAGAACUCGCCCUACCAUACACAUGCUGUAAUUAGUCCCAACUUCAUCUUCCACAGCUUGUACCGAUAUCUCCUCAUCGUCAACAAUAUUAAGGUUAGCUAACUCUUUUUCCAUUGAGACUCCACCACAAAAUCCACUACUUUCCUUCCAGCAAUAGUUACCUUUACCAAGUAGAAUAAAAAAAACAAAAGCAGAACCGUGCUAGGUUAGCAGCCAAAGAAAACAUGCUAGGGUAGCAAACUCUUAGUUAAAUUAAAUGAAUAUAUACAUUUUUUUCAUAUUAAAAAUAUUAUUAUAUAUUAAUUAUUAAAAUCAUAUAAUGUAUUAUAUUUAAUAACUAAAAUAUUUAAAAUAAAUUCAUAUUAUUUUUAUAUUUAAUAACUAAAAUAUUAUUUUUCAUUUUAGUUUUUUAUCUUUAAAAAAAUUAUUUACAUAUUUAAAUUUUUUUUAUAAAUUUUUAACUGUAUUUAAUAUAUUUUUUUAAAAAAUGUGUUAUAAUGAUCAUGCUUUAACAUUAUUUAGAAAAAAUCAUUAAAUAUUUAAACUUAUUUUUGAAUUUAUAAUCAUUCAACAUUUGAAUUUUUAUAAUUUAAAAGUAAUAAUAAUUAACAUUUUAUUACCUUUCAUAAAAUUUGAAUGAUAUAUAUUUAAGGUAAAAUAUAAGAAAACAAUAAUUUAAAUUAAUCAUUUAAUUGUGCAAAAUUUGAUAAGAAACAACCAAUCAAGCAGUAAGCAUUCCAAUCAAAAUCAUAAAUAAUCACGCAAAUUCUUAUUAUAGGAAGAAAAUGGAAAGGAGAUAUAGAAAACAGAUUGAUGCGUGCGUUGCCGGUGCCAAUGUCGACGCCGAGGAAGACCUUGUGAUGGGAAGUAGGGGAGGAGAUGCUAUGGGAGUAGGCGGAGGGAGAAGAAUGGAACCGGAUUUUUGUAUGAGGUUGUUGAUGUUGUUGUAUAAGUUUGCCGAGAAGCGACGUCGUAUCAGACCGAGUUCUCUCUUUACCCAACAUUUCUUUUCCUCUCAUAUUCAUCAACUUGUAAUUUUUUCUUUCAUUGAAUGUGUGCUUCAUCUCUUUCAUUUCUUUGCAAUUGACUUUUGCUUUGUUUUAUUUUUAGCACUACUAAAACUUAUGCUUAAUUUAGGAAUAUUUCUUAAAAGUGUCCAAAAGCUAAAAUGUUAAGUUUCUAAAAAAAAGUGCUUUUAGAUCAAUUUUUAAUUUGGGAAAAACAUUUUUUCUCAAAAAAAGAGUUUGUUUAGGAAUAUUUUUUAAUAUUUAAAAAGUAUUCUUAAACUAGCUAUUAGUUUAACAUUACUUCUCAAAACUACUUUUAGAAACACUUUUGAGCAAAAACUAAAAUUUUUGCUUCUACUUUUGGUUAGAGCAAAAGAAUUUAUUUUUGUCUCAAAAACACUUUUAAAAAGCUCAAAAACAUAUUAUUUAGAAAUACUUUUAUCUCAAAAGUAUUUUUUAUCCCAAAAGUACUUCUUAGAAAUAAUUUUAAACUGACCCUAAAAAUGAUUGGAUGUCGAAAGCUAGAUAAGUUUUACUUUUCUCUUAUAUAACUAAAACAAUUAAAAAAAUUAAUUUAACAUUGAAUAUUAAAAUACUAAAAAGUGUAAUAACAUGUUUUUUAAUAUUUAAAUUUGAAUAAUAAUAAAAAUAUAUUAUUUCAAUGUCAUUUUUUUAAAUAAUAGAAUGGCACAAGAUUACAUCGCAGAAGUUCUUUGUAUGGUAUUUCAAUAUCAAUUUAAUAAUAUAUAUCAUAAAUUAUAUUUCUAAUAGUGAGAACACAAAAAUUUUCUUUAAUUCUCAACAUUAAAUUAUUUAAAAUUAAAAUUAAAAUUUUUAUUAAUUUUUAAAAUAUAUAGUUAUUUAAUUUAUUUUUAAUAUAACUAUUCAAUAUCAAUUUAAUUUGCUUGUAUAGAGAUUUUUUUGUGUGUACGCCUGAUGGUUGUAUGGAAUUAAUUAAUAAUCAUAAGAAUUAAAAAAGAGAGAGUAGAUUCUUUGUUUCUAUGUCAUAAGCCAUGAACGAAAGAGACUAUGUAUGCACCACCAUUCCCUUUAAAGUGCAGAUUAAAAUCCUCUUUAUUUUUCAUAUCUUUUUCGUAAUGGAUAAUAUAUUCUUUUCCCUAAAUUUGAUAAUUAGAUUUAUUUUAAUAUAUGUAUCAUUUUUCAUUUUAAUAUUUAAAUUUAGCCAAUAAAUUCAUUUUGAUCACUAAAUUUGAAAAAUAUAGAAGUGUAAUAAUAUAGUACUUUGAAAUUAUAUUAUAUCAUCACUUGAAACUUAAAUAUAUAUAAAAUUCUAGGUGAUAACGUGGUAUAAUGUUAGAGUGUCAUAUACAAUGCUUUAAUAAUUGGAUUGAUAGUUGAAUCAAUCAGGCCAUUAGUUCUCGAUUUAAUCGGUUUAAUCAGUUCAAUUAUCAGACCAAUAAUAAUUAAAUAAAUAAUUAAAAAUUUAUUAUUUUUUAGGAAAAUAUUAAACCGGUUCAAUAUGCUCAACUACUAGUUUUUCUCUAAGUUUUCGAUUUUUAUUAAUUUCAAAUAAUUUUCGAUUCAACUGUUUGAACCCCUUUAUACAAAUAAAUAUACUAAUCGGUUCUUAAUUCAAUCGGUUUGAUUGACCAAUAUUACCCUAUUCAAAGAACACUAAUCAUAUCAUUAAAAAUAGACAGAAUCUAAAUUUAGAUACCAAUAAAGAUUUAGUUGUCAAGUUUAAUAUUAAAGUAAAAAUAUAUAUAAAUAUUAAAAUAAACUUAAUUGCUAAGUUCAAAAAUAAAAAAUUAUAUUAUUCCUUUUCGUAACAAAAUAUCACAUAUAAAGUGAUGAAAAUUUUCAUAAGAUCAAAAGAAUGAUGAGGUGGUUUGAAUAAAGAAAAUAAAUAAUAAAAGAAUAUUGAAUAUCAAUCUCUAAAAUAAUUUUCUGUAAUCGGAUCUUCAAGUCUUUUAAGACAUAUUGCACUCUGGAGGUAGACCUUGAGGAAAUCUCUUAGCAUCAUUGCAGUAAUUGUAUAUCAUGUAGUUCUUUUGUACCCACUGCAAUCUUUGUUGCUUCGCUGAAUCCAUUUCUUGAGAGAACCAUGCUCUGUUUGUCGAUGCAGAAGACGGUGAAGUAUUCGAUUUACAUGAAGAAGCUCCAUUGGACCACACACAAGCAUCGGCAUUGAAGUUCCUGUAAGAAGCAGUGAAAGGAGCUUGGGUCCAAUCGGUCUUAACCAAACCACCCCUUGUGGCCCAAUCAUCGGCAUUCCACAAGCUAGAGUAAAUUCUCAUCGGCUGGUU
rnacentral:lncRNA from 1 species